GAUGAACGCUGGCGGCGUGCCUAAUACAUGCAAGUCGAGCGAACGGACGAGAAGCUUGCUUUUCUGAUGUUAGCGGCGGGCGGGUGAGUAACACGUGGAUAACCUACCUAUAAGACUGGGAUAACUUCGGGAAACCGGAGCUAAUACCGGAUAAUAUUUUGAACCGCAUGGUUCAAAAGUGAAAGACGGUCUUGCUGUCACUUAUAGAUGGAUCCGCGCUGCACUAGCUAGUUGGUAAGGUAACGGCUUACCAAGGCAACGAUGCAUAGCCGACCUGAGAGGGUGAUCGGCCACACUGGAACUGAGACACGGUCCAGACUCCUACGGGAGGCAGCAGUAGGGAAUCUUCCGCAAUGGGCGAAAGCCUGACGGAGCAACGCCGCGUGAGUGAUGAAGGUCUUCGGAUCGUAAAACUCUGUUAUUAGGGAAGAACAUAUGUGUAAGUAACUGUGCACAUCUUGACGGUACCUAAUCAGAAAGCCACGGCUAACUACGUGCCAGCAGCCGCGGUAAUACGUAGGUGGCAAGCGUUAUCCGGAAUUAUUGGGCGUAAAGCGCGCGUAGGCGGUUUUUUAAGUCUGAUGUGAAAGCCCACGGCUCAACCGUGGAGGGUCAUUGGAAACUGGAAAACUUGAGUGCAGAAGAGGAAAGUGGAAUUCCAUGUGUAGCGGUGAAAUGCGCAGAGAUAUGGAGGAACACCAGUGGCGAAGGCGACUUUCUGGUCUGUAACUGACGCUGAUGUGCGAAAGCGUGGGGAUCAAACAGGAUUAGAUACCCUGGUAGUCCACGCCGUAAACGAUGAGUGCUAAGUGUUAGGGGGUUUCCGCCCCUUAGUGCUGCAGCUAACGCAUUAAGCACUCCGCCUGGGGAGUACGACCGCAAGGUUGAAACUCAAAGGAAUUGACGGGGACCCGCACAAGCGGUGGAGCAUGUGGUUUAAUUCGAAGCAACGCGAAGAACCUUACCAAAUCUUGACAUCCUUUGACAACUCUAGAGAUAGAGCCUUCCCCUUCGGGGGACAAAGUGACAGGUGGUGCAUGGUUGUCGUCAGCUCGUGUCGUGAGAUGUUGGGUUAAGUCCCGCAACGAGCGCAACCCUUAAGCUUAGUUGCCAUCAUUAAGUUGGGCACCCUAAGUUGACUGCCGGUGACAAACCGGAGGAAGGUGGGGAUGACGUCAAAUCAUCAUGCCCCUUAUGAUUUGGGCCACACACGUGCUACAAUGGACAAUACAAAGGGCAGCGAAACCGCGAGGUCAAGCAAAUCCCAUAAAGUUGUUCUCAGUUCGGAUUGUAGUCUGCAACUCGACUACAUGAAGCUGGAAUCGCUAGUAAUCGUAGAUCAGCAUGCUACGGUGAAUACGUUCCCGGGUCU
rnacentral:rRNA from 1 species